rnacentral:rRNA from 1 species
GCUCACGAGAAGCCUUUGUGACCCCGCAAGGGGUGCCCGCCGCGACUGUAAAGAAGUAAAUGCCGGGCAUUAAAUCGCAAGUCGGCCCGCAGCAGGGCCGGCCACACUUUCGAACUGCGGGGACACCCUAAAGCCGGCCCCUACCAAACCGACCGGGAAACCGAGUCGGCGGCCGCUGUUAACCGCAGCGGGUACGGUAAGAACGGGGCCGGAUGGACGACAAUGGGCCAUCCGCAGCCGAGUCCCUAAGGCCUCCGCGGCACGGGAAAGGUUCACAGACUAGGUGGAAGUGGGCCGUCGGCGCAAGAAGCGCCUUCGGCUUAAGAUAUAGUCGGGCUCCGCGGGAAACUGAGGAGGAGUCGCUCGAGAAUAGAGUAACGCACAAACGUUCCGUAGGUGAACCUGCGGAAGGAUCAUUAAAAAGGUCUCUGACCAAAACCCUUUGGUCCGGUUCGCCGGCCAGAGUUCAACCACAGUGGUACACAUUUUUUGCUUCGGCAGCCGGUUGUUGACGCGAGUCACCGGCCGUGAGCCUGCCGGCAGCGCCAAAUCAAACCUGUUUUGAAAACCAGUCUGAACUAAUGAUUUCUUGAAUGAAAAUCAAAACUUUCAACAACGGAUCUCUUGGUUCUCGCAUCGAUGAAGAACGCAGCGAAACGCGAUAGUUAAUGUGAAUUGCAGAAUUCAGUGAAUCAUCGAGUCUUUGAACGCACAUUGCGCCCCUCGGUAUUCCGGCGGGCAUGUCUGUUUGAGCGUCAUUACAAACCCCCUCGGCCGGUCGCUUUUCUGUCGUCCGGCCGGUGCUGAGCCCGCCCGACCGCCUCUCCGGAGGCGUGGCCGGCUUUAAACCGGACGCUACGCGAGCGGUCCUGACCGAAAGAACAUAGUAGAUUCGUUUCCACUGUUCCUCCAGGUCGCGGCCCGCUUCGCCUGAACAAAACCGAUCACAAGGUUUGACCUCAGAUCAGACAAGGAUACCCGCUGAACUUAAGCAUAUCAAUAAGCGGAGGAAAAGAAACCAACCGGGAUUGCCUCAGUAACGGCGAGUGAAGCGGCAAGAGCUCAAAUUUGAAAUCUGGGACCUUCGGUCUCCGAGUUGUAAUUUGAAGAGGAUGCCUCGGUUGCAGCCCCGGCCUAAGUUCCUUGGAACAGGACGUCGCAGAGGGUGAGAAUCCCGUACGCGGCCGCGGGCUUGCUUCCACGUGUGGCUCCCUCGAAGAGUCGAGUUGUUUGGGAAUGCAGCUCAAAAUGGGUGGUAAGUUUCAUCUAAGGCUAAAUACUGGCGAGAGACCGAUAGCGCACAAGUAGAGUGAUCGAAAGAUGAAAAGCACUUUGAAAAGAGAGUUAAACAGUACGUGAAAUUGUUGAAAGGGAAGCGCUUGCGAUCAGACUCGCGCGCGGUUGAUCAACGUUCCUUCUGGUUCGUGCACUCUGCCGCGCUGCGGGCCAGCGUCGGUCGGGACGGCGGGACAAAGGCUCCGGGAAUGUGGCUCCCCUCGGGGAGUGUUAUAGCCCGGCGCGCAAUGCCGCCAGCCCCGACCGAGGUCCGCGGUUUUACCUAGGACGCUGGCUUAAUGGUCGUAAGCGACCCGUCUUGAAACACGGACCAAGGAGUCUAACAUCCACGCGAGUGUUUGGGCGUCAAACCCAUGCGCGCAAUGAAAGUGAACGGAGGUGGGAGCCCUUGGGCGCACCAUCGACCGAUCCUGAUGUCCUCGGAUGGAUUUGAGUAGGAGCGUGGCUGUUGGGACCCGAAAGAUGGUGAACUAUGCCUGAAUAGGGUGAAGCCAGAGGAAACUCUGGUGGAGGCUCGCAGCGGUUCUGACGUGCAAAUCGAUCGUCAAAUUUGGGUAUAGGGGCGAAAGACUAAUCGAA